ACUUUCAAACCAGGAUUUUUUUAACAACAAUUCAAGAAUACCACAGAAUAAAAAUACAACAUAAAUACCACAUUUUGGAAGGUGUUUGGGAAUGGUCAAAUUUCGCGCGAAAUAUUUGAUUGACCUUUUGUGUCCGACCAUUACAAAAUUUUCUUUUUAUUUAGCCUUCACCGCGCCUAAUAAAAAAUUAGCUCGUAACGUUAACCGUAUGUACAUUGCGCUUAUACAUAUUUGGAUAGCAAUAUUAUGACGUAAAAGAAGGAUGGAUCGAUUUAAUUCAAAGGCGUAUUAGGUGGGUGCAACUACCUUCGAGAAACUAGACUACAGUUAAGUCGUAUUUUAUAUCAACUAGAAUAGGAAGGUGAUAAAAGAUAAUGGUAUACUGAAAAGAGUUCACAACACUACGUUUAACUCCAUAUACGUUUAUACGUGAAUACGUUGAUGUCGAUUGCUAAUUAGUAUUCGCGGUUAGAAUGUCAUUCACCGGAAAAUCGCAUCAAUCGAUUUAUAGGACCAGAUGAAAAAGCUUCAUUCGAUAAUCGACCAACGAUUAAUUGAUUUCAAACAUCCGGUGUAUUCGAUGAAACGCAGUUAUAUCAUCGACACUGGACAUGUCUGAAUUUACACGUUCACGAAUCUGUUCGAGCUGAAGGUAUCUUGGAAGAGAUGAUAGAAUAAUAAUAAUGAGAACUGAAUACUUCAAUCAAAACUUAACCUCUAUUUACUGAACAAGUUAAUUAAUUCCCACAGGUUGAAAAUAUAUUGUUCUCAAGAUAAUACUUUGUAUUGUAAGCAAAAAUAUAUUCAAAUAAAUAGUUAAUACCUUUA